UAGGGAAUCUUCCGCAAUGGGCGAAAGCUUGACGGAGCAAGGCCGCGUGGGUGAUGAAGGUCUUCGGAUCGUAAAACUCUGUUAUUAGGGAAGAACAAAUGUGUAAGUAACUAUGCACGUCUUGACGGUACCUAAUCAGAAAGCCACGGCUAACUACGUGCCAGCAGCCGCGGUAAUACGUAGGUGGCAAGCGUUAUCCGGAAUUAUUGGGCGUAAAGCGCGCGUAGGCGGUGUUUUAAGUCUGAUGUGAAAGCCCACGGCUCAACCGUGGAGGGUCAUUGGAAACUGGAAAACUGUAGCGCAGAAAAGGAAAGUGGAAUUCAAUGGGUAGCGGUGAAAUGCGCAGUGAUAGGGAGGAAAACCAGUGGCGAAGGCGACGUUCGGGUCUGUAACUGACGCUGAUGUGCGAAAGCGUGGGGAUCAAACAGG
rnacentral:rRNA from 1 species